UCCUUUCUUGAAAAUAGUCUCCGCCUCAACGGAUCUCCGACAACUCAACCUCGACUCCUGAAUGGUGGCUUAAGGAAGCAAGGAGGCUCGCGGAACACAGUAAGAUAAUGCGACAGAUAGCUAGACAUACAACAGGAAAACUAAACUAAGAAGAUGGAUAGACGGUUGUGAGAAGAGAUCACUACUCUACGCUGCUAUA